AGAGUUUGAUCAUGGCUCAGGAUGAACGCUGGCGGCGUGCCUAAUACAUGCAAGUCGAACGAGGUUAGCAAUAACCGAGUGGCGAACGGGUGAGUAACACGUAGGUAACCUGCCUUACAGUUUGGGAUACCCGAGGGAAACCUUGGCUAAUACCGAAUAAUUCUUCGAGAGGCAUCUCUUGAAGCUAAAAGGGGCCUUUAAAGCCUCGCUGAAAGAUGGACCUGCGGCGCAUUAGCUAGUUGGUGAGAUAACAGCCCACCAAGGCGAGGAUGCGUAGCCGACCUGAGAGGGUGAACGGCCACACUGGAACUGAGACACGGUCCAGACUCCUACGGGAGGCAGCAGUAGGGAGUUUUCGGCAAUGGGGGAAACCCUGACCGAGCAACGCCGCGUGAACGAUGAAAGGUCUUCGGAUUGUAAAGUUCUGUUAUCAGGGAAGAAUGAUAUCGUGAGGAAAUGCUCGAUAUUUGACGGUACCUGAUUAGAAAGCCACGGCUAACUACGUGCCAGCCGCCGC
rnacentral:rRNA from 1 species